CAGCAUGUGACCAAGCUGCUGCUGAGAUCUUGCCUGUAAAUUCUAUCAAAUGUGAAGUCAGGUGCUAAGAGCUUCAAGGAAAUAGAAUGGCUCCAUUGAACUCACUUGGGAUAUUCAUGGGAGUGAAGUUAGGUGCAUAAAGCCCCAACUCUGCAUGUGACCACCUACCCUGUAUAUACACAGUGAGGCUGAAGUAUUGGGGGACAACGUCUGGCAAGGACUUGCAAAUGACAAAACGAUAUUCUGCAUCAAGUUUCAGUGGGGUUUAAUGCUGUUAGAGCAUACCAGCAAGGGAAGCAGCUGGAAUGCCAACUACUCUACUGUCACAUUUUCCUCCUGUAACACGCUUCAGCUCAGGAAACUGAUUCCUGGAGCUCAGAUACUGAUAAUGAAACAUGAGAGACUUGUCAAGUUCUUUACAGCCAUCUUUACCUGAAGUGGGCUCCAUGAAGUUCUUUCCAUUUAAGAUA